CUUUGUUUUCUUUUUCAAGUUCACUCCUCUUUCUUCUUUUGAGUUUCUGCAGAAGUGAUCUCUGUGAAGCCGCCAAAUUCUUGCUGUUCACGAGUAAAGGCUACUGAAAGAGGACAGGUAUUCCAACAUGAGGGAGGCAGCAGGAGUGGAUAGGAUCAGUAAUUUACCAGACUCACUUCUUCAUCACAUCCAUUCUUUUCUUCGCAUCAAGGAUAUUGCUCGUACUAGUGUACCAUCAAAAAGAUGGAACUUCAUUUGGACCACUGUCCCCAUCCUUGAAUUUGCAAAUUCAUUAUACAAUUCCAUCCCCACUUAUCCCGAGACCCAGAAAUUCAUGGAUUUUGUAGAUGGAACAUUGCAUCGUCAUGAUUCGUCAAAUAUAGACAAAUUCUCUCUUCACUGCAAUCACCACUUAAAUGAGAACCGGCUUCAUUCUUGGAUUUCUACUGUAAUAAGGGCUAACGUUAAAGAGAUAGAUUUAUUCAUAAGACAAAAGCGCCGCUUAUUUAUUCCCCUAUCUCUUUUUACUUGUGAAUCACUGAUAUCUUUGAAGCUAUUAACUUACCCCAAUGUCCGUCUUCCUAAAUAUAUCUCUUUUCCGAGACUCAAGCGCCUUGCACUUAUUUGUUUUGGAUUUAGCGAUGAGUCCUGGAAUGAGGAACUCUUUUCAAGGUCCCCUGUCCUUGAAGAACUGAUUCUGCUCAGCUGCACUUAUUCUACGAGGAAUUUCUGUAUUUCGAUUCCUACACUCAAACUCUUGAAAAUUGGUACUUGGCAUGACGAGGAAAAUGAUUUACGAAACUGUGUUUUCAAAAUUGAUGCACCAAGGCUUGUCAGUUUCUCCUACUGGGGUUAUGCUGCGAAAGAGUUUGUCUUGUCUAAUUUUCUUGUACUAGUCGAAGCAACUGUUUACUUCAACUCUCAAAAUAAAGUUGGUGCAGAAGCAACAAGUCAGUUACUUGGUGCCCUUGCACAUGUAAAAUGUCUAACUGUUCAUAAUGAAACCCUUAAGGCUAUCUGCUCCGCAUACGAUCUGUCAAACUAUCUGCCGACAUUUCAUAAUGUCAAAAUGUUGAAAAUAUCUGACAGCAUAACCACUGAUGAAGGACUAAUUGCUUUGCUCAAAGGAGUACCUAAUCUGGAGUCGCUCGUAUUUGGUCAGUAUAUGAAUGAUAAAAUGGUAGAAGACAGUGUCGGGGAAGUUGAGAACGACAGUGACGAGGACGAUGAGAAUGAUAGUGAUGAUGCCAAGGGUGAUGGGGAUAAUGACAAUGAAGACGAUGCUGCCAAUUCUGUUGAGGGUGAAGACAACCACCACAAUAAAGACGAAGGAGCUGGUGAUGGGGAUGAUGACAAUGAACACGAUGAUGCAUAUUUUGUUGAGGGUGAAAACAACUACCACAAUGAAUACGAAGGAGAUGUCGCUGAUGCUGCUGAGUGCGAGAGCAAUGAUGAGUAUGAAGAUAAUAGUUGGGCACUCGAUAAUGCGACUACUGGAUGUUUAUUUCCACACCUUAAAUCAGUUUGCUUUCAGCAUUUUGUUGGGAAUCCAAGGGAGAUGAGGUGGAUGAAAAUGAUUUUGAGGAAUGCAAAAGCUUUGCAAAUGAUGACUAUUCGUUACCAUGCACCUAGUUUCUACUUGGUAAACACGAAAAGUGAAGAAAAACUUAUGGUAGAGAUGCCAAGUUUUCCAAGAGCUUCAGCAGAUUGCAUGAUAAAUUUCUGUUAAUCUUUUACUGUGCAUCUGGGUGCUGCCGUUUCCAGUUUCGACUCGCACAAAAUGGCAAGGAAAACCUCAAACUGAAACAGAACUUUCUGGAAUUCUGUUUAGAAAUCCAACCAUUGGGCUUUUCGCAUUUUUGGCUGUAGUAGAUUGCGAAUUGAUCUGCAUUGUAACUGUUCGAUCCAUUGCUGAUACUCCUGGCCAAUCUAUCCCAUGAAUGCAUCAAGAUAUACCUGACCAAAGGUGAGGAUUAGUUAGAUCUUGGCAACCAAGACUACGGUUUUGUGAAGUUCCAUUUUCUUGAAAAUCGUAGGAUACUGGAAGUUCUCUCCAAGCAUUGAAAGGAAGAGAUUUAGAUACUGGCAUUGAUACAGACUGUUUUGUGAUUUUCCAAGUGUUGGGCAAAGGCAGUUACCUACAGUCUACAGAGUUGAAUACAGGUUUCAUGUCUUCAGAUUUAUAUAUAGACGAAUUGUUAACGUUCUGCAACUUCUGUUUCCUUGUAAUUUUAAAGAAUGCCA